AACCAGAUGCUCAAUAAUAAAUAUCUAUUGUUUAAUUAUUUGUACAGUGAGAAGCAGAAGAAAAAAUAAAAGAGGGAUAAAAAGAAGUGACGAAAAUGUAUAUGUGAUUGCAAUGGGAAUGAGGAUGGAUAUGAGUUUAUUACUGUUAAAGUCAAAUUUGGAACUUAUGUAUAAGAAGAAGAAACAGUACUUUGCUUUGUCUUCUUCUCAUAUCUCUCUCUAUGUACAUUUGUACAGGUACUUUCUUGUUCUUCUUAUAAUUAAUUUCAAACCCUUAGAUGGGCCUUCAAAAAUAUUUGGCCCGUUUAGAAAAAACAGGGCCUUAUCGUCGAAACCCUAGCUAUAUAAGACGGAGUGGUGCGCUCGACUAACUACACAGCGGAGGAGAAUCUGAGUUCGGCGACUUGACGAUGAGGGCGAAGUGGAAGAAGAAGCGGAUGAGGAGACUGAAGAGGAAGCGCAGGAAGAUGAGACAGCGAUCCAAGUAGCCUGUGUGUCUCCAUGCCUAUCUAUAAAUCUCUGAACCUUUUAUGUUUUGUGUUUUUUUACGUUUAAGUUUGAACAAUCGUUUGUAUAACAUGUUUUGGAUCAACUCCCUUUUUAUUUAUCUACACAGAGCAGAGAUUUAUCUUA